AUGGUCCUUUUCAUUCUUCCAUUAUUGCACUCGUACUUAGUGGACAGUAGAGGACAGGGUGAAAAAAGACAAAGGCAUAGCUCAAUCCUUUACGGCAAGGAGCAUGUUGACGAACUUCUUGAAGGACACGUGAAGAAUUGCUUGGUAGCUUUUAGGAUGGAACCAUACAUCUUUAAGUCUUUAGCAUCAUAUCUUAGAAGGAAAGAAUUGAUAAAAGACACAAGGCUCAAGGUGGAGAAGUUAGCAUUUUUCCUAUACAUGUUGUCACAUAAUUCAUCAUAUGAAGAUUUGCAACUGGAAUUCAGACACAGUGGAUCCACCUUUGAUAUCAUCCCUGCCCUAUGUACUCGCUUUGUGGAGCCUCCACGCAUUGACGAACCUCAUCCAAUAAUUGCUACCGAUGAACGAUUCUAUCCAUACUUC
rnacentral:rRNA from 1 species